rnacentral:rRNA from 1 species
UACAGAGGGGGCAAGCGUUGUUCGGAAUACUGGGCGUAAAGGGCGCGUAGGCGCCUUCUAAGUCGAACGUGAAAUCCCCGGGCUCAACCCGGGAACUGCGUCCGAUACUGGAAGGCUUGAAUCCGGGAGAGGGAUGCGGAAUUCCAGGUGUAGCGGUGAAAUGCGUAGAUAUCUGGAGGAACACCGGUGGCGAAGGCAGGUCUCUGGGCAUUAACUGACGCUGGGGAGCGAAAGCAUGGGGAGCGAACAGG